UACGUAGGUGGCAAGCGUUGUCCGGAAUUAUUGGGCGUAAAGCGCGCGCAGGUGGUUUCUUAAGUCUGAUGUGAAAGCCCACGGCUCAACCGUGGAGGGUCAUUGGAAACUGGGGAACUUGAGUGCAGGAGAGAAGAGUGGAAUUCCACGUGUAGCGGUGAAAUGCGUAGAGAUGUGGAGGAACACCAGUGGCGAAGGCGGCUCACUGGCCCGAUACUGACGCUGAGGCACGAAAGCGUGGGGAGCAAACAGG
rnacentral:rRNA from 1 species